rnacentral:rRNA from 1 species
AUACGGAGGGUGCGAGCGUUGUUCGGAAUAACCGGGCGUAAAGAGUACGUAGGCGGUUUGGUAAGUCAGGUGUGAAAUCCCGGAGCUCAACUCCGGAACUGCAUCCGAUACUGCCAGACUAGAGUAAUGGGGAGGCAGGUGGAAUUCUCGGUGUAGCAGUGAAAUGCGUGGAUAUCGAGAGGAAGACCAAUGGCGAAGGCAGCCUGCUGGACAUUUACUGACGCUGAGGUACGAAGGCUAGGGGAGCGAAAGGGAUUAGAAACCCGUGUAGUCC